CGCCGGGGGUGGCGCCGCGACGCUCUGGCGCCUCCGACGCCGAGACGCUCCAGUGAUGUUGGCUCCAUGCACCUACACAUCUCCACCUGUCCGUCGCGUCCCCUCUACCGCGAUAUUCACGUACACUUAACUACGCGGUCGCAAUGAGAGUUUGAGAUUCUAGUUCCCACAUGUAUACGCGUGCAUUCUGCCCGCGCCCUCUAACCACCGACGACGGCCGCCCCAUCCACGCCCUCCACCCGCAUUCACGCACACGGGCUGCUUGUGGGAUUAAAAGAACAUCGUGGCAGAACCGAAAUCCGUUCUCGAUUUUACGAUUCAACAACGGGAAGGUCCACCGGUCGCCGAUAAUCGGACGCCGCGCAGUAGGCCUCGGACAAGCGCCGAUGACUUCACGAAAACUUCACCGAGGGUGUCGAAGGGCUUACACCCGGCCAGUCAAACAGGAUAUACCUUUUCAGAAAUGUAGACAAGAGGAGAGGGGGAUAACCAGAAAUCCAAAUUAACAGAUGUCUCCUGUUUCUAAAUAAAUAUAGUUCGAAUUUAUAUAAAUUGUUUAGCAAAAUA